CUACAACAGCCCCCAAAUAGCCCCGAGUUAAAUUGUUUGGACCUCUGCUUCCAUAGCUCUCUCCAGUCUCUAACCGACUGCAGGUCACCUACAAACAUCCAGGAACUGGUACAGGGUGUGGAAGAGGAAUUCGAGAACUACGAUCCCGACAAGUUGCACAGAAGCUUUAUCACAUUAGAAGCAGUUAUGUUUGAAGUUAUGAAAGACAAAGGAGGAAAUCAAUAUAAGUUGCCCCACUUGCACAAGGAUCGCGUUCAGAAUGCUGGAAUGGAAAUAACCGGUGUAUAUUGCGACAGUCGGGUAGUUGUUGAUACUAGGGCCAUUAUAGAAGAAAUGGAAAUUGCAAUAGGAAAAGAAAAUGAAAGGAAAGAAUUAGCUAGAGAAGGGAAAAGAAAGAAAAGUAAAGGGAAGGGAAUGGAAGAAGUGGCCAGAGAAAGAAUGUAG
rnacentral:rRNA from 1 species